rnacentral:rRNA from 1 species
UGCGGUAUUUUAACUGUACUAAGGUAGCAUAAUAAUUUGCCUUAUAAAUUGAGGCUAGUAUGAAAGGUUUGACGAAGGUUUACCUGUCUCUUUUUUAUUUAAUAGAAAUUAAUUUUUUAGUGAAAAAGCUUAAAUUCUUCAAAGGGACGAGAAGACCCUAAUGAGCUUAAAUUUUAUUUUAUUAUAUAUAUUUUAUAGUAAAAAAGAAGUUUUAGUUGGGGUGAUUAAGGAAUAAAAAACGAAUGAUGUAACUUCCUUAAAUAUAAAAUUGUUAAAUUAAGUAACCAAUUUAUAUUGCUUAUAAUAGAGUUACCAUAGGGAUAACAGCGUAAUUUAUUUAGAGAGCUCAUAUCAAAAAAUAAGAUUGCGACCUCGAUGUUGGAUUAAAGUAACCUUAAGGUGCAGU